rnacentral:rRNA from 1 species
AUUGAACGCUGGCGGCAUGCCUUACACAUGCAAGUCGAACGGCAGCACGGGAGCAAUCCUGGUGGCGAGUGGCGAACGGGUGAGUAAUAUAUCGGAACGUGCCCAGUCGUGGGGAUAACGUAGCGAAAGCUACGCUAAUACCGCAUACGAUCUAUGGAUGAAAGCGGGGGAUCGCAAGACCUCGCGCGAUUGGAGCGGCCGAUAUCAGAUUAGGUAGUUGGUGAGGUAAAGGCUCACCAAGCCGACGAUCUGUAGCUGGUCUGAGAGGACGACCAGCCACACUGGGACUGAGACACGGCCCAGACUCCUACGGGAGGCAGCAGUGGGGAAUUUUUGGACAAUGGACGCAAGUCCGAUCCAGCCAUUCCGCGUGCAGGAUGAAGGCCCUCGGGUUGUAAACUGCUUUUGUACGGAACGAAACGGUGAGCUCUAAUACAGUUUGCUAAUGACGGUACCGUAAGAAUAAGCACCGGCUAACUACGUGCCAG